ACGAACGCUGGCGGCGUGCUUAACACCUGCAAGUCGAACGGAAAGGCUCCAGCUUGCUGGCGUACUCGAGUGGCGAACGGGUGAGUAACACGUGGGUAAUCUGCCCUGCACUCUGGGAUAAGCCUGGGAAACUGGGUCUAAUACUGGAUAUGACCUUUCUCCUUAUGGGGUUUGGUGGAAAGUUUUUCGGUGUAGGAUGAGCCCGCGGCCUAUCAGCUUGUUGGUGGGGUGAUGGCCUACCAAGGCGACGACGGGUAGCCGGCCUGAGAGGGUGAUCGGCCACAUUGGGACUGAGAUACGGCCCAGACUCCUACGGGAGGCAGCAGUGGGGAAUAUUGCACAAUGGGCGGAAGCCUGAUGCAGCGACGCCGCGUGAGGGAUGACGGCCUUCGGGUUGUAAACCUCUUUCAGCAGGGACGAAGCGUAAGUGACGGUACCUGCAGAAGAAGCACCGGCUAACUACGUG
rnacentral:rRNA from 1 species